rnacentral:lncRNA from 1 species
AAUAACGCCACAACAAAGAGAAGCAGUGAUAAGAGGAAGCAGCUUCUAAUGGCGCCCAUGCCCUUCUUUACAACAUAAAGAAACAGGAAAAAGAGUAAGAAAAGUAGGAGGAGAAAGAAACAAUCACCUUGUCGGACUUAAUUCAGGAAAAGUAUACUGGAUCAAAUGUUUCACAUAUGUCACAACUCAUUUUUGGCCUUACAACACUUUUCAAG